rnacentral:rRNA from 1 species
CAGUCGAGCGGUAAGGCCUUUCGGGGUACACGAGCGGCGAACGGGUGAGUAACACGUGGGUGAUCUGCCCUGCACUUCGGGAUAAGCCUGGGAAACUGGGUCUAAUACCGGAUAUGACCUCCUAUCGCAUGGUGGGUGGUGGAAAGAUUUAUCGGUGCAGGAUGGGCCCGCGGCCUAUCAGCUUGUUGGUGGGGUAAUGGCCUACCAAGGCGACGACGGGUAGCCGACCUGAGAGGGUGACCGGCCACACUGGGACUGAGACACGGCCCAGACUCCUACGGGAGGCAGCAGUGGGGAAUAUUGCACAAUGGGCGAAAGCCUGAUGCAGCGACGCCGCGUGAGGGAUGACGGCCUUCGGGUUGUAAACCUCUUUCAGCAGGGACGAAGCGCAAGUGACGGUACCUGCAGAAGAAGCACCGGCUAACUACGUGCCAGCAGCCGCGGUAAUACGUAGGGUGCAAGCGUUGUCCGGAAUUACUGGGCGUAAAGAGUUCGUAGGCGGUUUGUCGCGUCGUUUGUGAAAACCAGCAGCUCAACUGCUGGCUUGCAGGCGAUACGGGCAGACUUGAGUACUGCAGGGGAGACUGGAAUUCCUGGUGUAGCGGUGAAAUGCGCAGAUAUCAGGAGGAACACCGGUGGCGAAGGCGGGUCUCUGGGCAGUAACUGACGCUGAGGAACGAAAGCGUGGGUAGCGAACAGGAUUAGAUACCCUGGUAGUCCACGCCGUAAA